rnacentral:sRNA from 1 species
GCCGGGUGUGGUGGCUCACACCUGUAAUCCCAGCACCUGGGAGGCUGAGGUGGGUGGAUCACUUGAGGUCAGGAGUUGGAGACCAGCCUGGCCAAUAUGGCGAAACCCUGUCUCUACUAAAAAUACAAAAAUUAGACGGGCAUGGUGGCACGUGCCUGUAAUCCUAGCUACUCGGGAGGCUGAGGCAGGAGAAUCACUUGAACCCGGGAGGCAGAGGUUGCAGUGAGCUAAGAUCGUGCCACUGCGCUCCAGCCUGGGCAACAGAGUGAGACUCUGUCUCA